UCCGUAGGUGAACCUGCGGAAGGAUCAUUACCGAGUUGAUUCGGGCUCCGGCCCGAUCCUCCCACCCUUUGUGUACCUACCUCUGUUGCUUUGGCGGGCCGCGGUCCUCCGCGGCCGCCCCCCUCCCCGGGGGGGUGGCCAGCGCCCGCCAGAGGACCAUCAAACUCCAGUCAGUAAACGAUGCAGUCUGAAAAACAUUUAAUAAACUAAAACUUUCAACAACGGAUCUCUUGGUUCUGGCAUCGAUGAAGAACGCAGCGAAAUGCGAUAAGUAAUGUGAAUUGCAGAAUUCAGUGAAUCAUCGAAUCUUUGAACGCACAUUGCGCCCUUUGGUAUUCCGAAGGGCAUGCCUGUUCGAGCGUCAUUACAACCCUCAAGCCCUGCUUGGUAUUGGGCACCGUCCUUUGCGGGCGCGCCUCAAAGACCUCGGCGGUGGCGUCUUGCCUCAAGCGUAGUAGAACAUACAUCUCGCUUCGGAGCGCAGGGCGUCGCCCGCCGGACGAACCUUCUGAACUUUUCUCAAGGUUGACCUCGGAUCAGGUAGGGAUACCCGCUGAACUUAAGCAUAUCAAUAAGCGGAGGA
rnacentral:rRNA from 1 species